GAGUAACCCCAGAGUGCAGUCUGGACGAUGGGGCGGGGCGACACUUCGAGGCGGAGCGACACGUGUCGCCCCGCCCAUAUUUGUUUUCCCCGCCUUUGACAUUUUCCUCCGAGCCAGCAGGGGGCAGUUUGCGUUGAAACAAACAGAACGGUGGCAACUACAGCAGCAGAGUAAUAACGCUAUUCCGUUGAUUGCUUGAGGUGAGUAAAAGUGGUUGUGUAAAUAUCUUAUAAUAUGAAAUGCGAUGUUCGAUCAUUUAUUUAUCCAUGGUACGUUCAAUUUGAAUAAUUAUUGUUAAUAAUUGUUAUAAAUUGCUAAUUUUAUUGUUCUUUGUGGAUUGUAACAGUACACUCUGUACAUGGCUUUAGUUCAUAGGUUCGAUUUUACAGAGGUAUGGCAUCACAUUUGUCAAGUUAUUUGAACAGACAUGCAUGAUUUUUGUGUGUAUAUUAUUAUUAUUAUUAUUUUUCAGGAUGACAUGAUCAGGAGGUGGUGGUGUUCUGUUCUCCUGGACAGCUUUACUCCACAAAUAGCUCAACCACUGAGGGGAGGAACUUCACCAUUCACCAUGUCUUCAGGCAGAGUCCAGCAAAGCAGCUUCCACUGGAAAUCCUCAGGGAAGUUAUUUUGUCGGCGGGUGACUCUGCAUAUUUGACACUUUCUCUGGUUUGCAGAUGGUUUAGGGAUGUGCUCCGAAGUUUUUCGGAAAGCGGCACAGUUUGCCUGGCUAGACAUUGUGGCCAACUGAAAGAAUUGUCCUCCUGUCUCCUGACCGGAACGAGUUCAGACGGAUGUACAGCAUCAGGGAAUGGUUGCAGUGCAGAGCCCUUUUCAAGUUUAACCCACCAGGGUACAGGGAAGAGACCGGCGUGGUGAUCUUCUGGGCUUUUGUUUACACAGGAUUUUUUUUUUUUUUUUUUGCGGCAUGAAACACAUUUGUGUGUUAAAUUCAUUGAAGGGAAAUAGAGAAUGGACUGAGAUCAACUGGUUUUGAUGUAUUAAUUGAUGUCAUUUAAAGUUAAACUUUGCAGUGUAUAAUGUUUUAAUAAAAAAGCUAUGGAAAACAUAAGCAUGACAACAGGAUUCAGUCAUUUACAUCAGUCUAUCAUUCUUUAAGGUUUCUCAUAUUUGAUGAUAACAUCAUUUGCUAUGCAUUGCUCAUAAUGGAUUCUUAAUUUAGUUGUGACAGGAUUGUGAGGAUUAAUGAGGUUUUCAGUAGUGCAGUUCAGAAAACAAAUAACAGAAAGUGACGAGUGUUUUUGGGCAAGUUCUUUAGAACCUGUAUAGUUCCUUCCUUGCAAAAAGUAACCAUGGAUUUAUUGUAGUAAAAAUAUUUGUUGGCAUAUUAAUUACUGUGAGCUGCAAUUAUAAAAACACCAUAGUUUUACUAUAGUUACUGUAGCAGAA